rnacentral:rRNA from 1 species
CAGGGAGACGAGCCCGUAGUUGAGGAUGAUGAUGAUGAGGAAGAUGAGGAUGAUGAUGACGAGGAUGACAAAGAUGAUGAUGUUGAGGGAGUUGAUGCAAGUGGAAGAUCUAAGCAGAGUAGGAGUGAGAAGAAGAGCAGGAAGGCCAUGCUGAAGCUUGGCAUGAAGACUAUCACUGGCGUGAGCCGUGUAACUGUCAAGAAGAGCAAGAAUAUCCUGUUUGUCAUCUCCAAGCCAGAUGUAUUCAAGAGCCCUGCCUCUGACACCUAUGUCAUUUUCGGUGAGGCUAAGAUUGAGGAUCUGAGCUCACAGCUGCAGUCCCAGGCUGCCGAGCAAUUCAAAGCGCCUGAUCUUAGCAGCGUCAUCUCAAACCCUGAGGCUUCUACAGCUGUUCAGGAGGAUGACGAGGAUUGUGAUGAGACUGGAGUUGAGCCUAAGGACAUUGAACUGGUGAUGACCCAGGCCGGUGUGCCUAGGCCCAAGGCUGUGAAGGCGCUCAAAUCUGCUGACGGUGACAUAGUCAGUGCUAUCAUGGAACUGACGAACUAG